GAUCAGCCCGCUCCCGGUAAAACGGGACGGCCCGCCAGAGGACCCCUAAACUCUGUUUCUAUAUGUAACUUCUGAGUAAAACCAUAAAUAAAUCAAAACUUUCAACAACGGAUCUCUUGGUUCUGGCAUC
rnacentral:rRNA from 1 species